rnacentral:rRNA from 1 species
UACGUAGGGUGCUAGCGUUGUUCGGAAUUACUGGGCGUAAAGCGCAUGUAGGCGGCUAUUUAAGUCAGAUGUGAAAGCCCCGGGCUUAACCUGGGACGUGCAUCUGAAACUAUUUAGCUUGAGUACAGGAGAGGGUAGUGGAAUUUCUGGUGUAGUGGUGAAAUACGUAGAUAUCAGAAGGAACAUCGGUGGCGAAGGCGGCUGCCUGGCCUUGUACUGACGCUGAGAUGCGAAAGCGUGGGGAGCAAACAGG